rnacentral:rRNA from 1 species
UACGUAGGGGGCAAGCGUUGUCCGGAUUUAUUGGGCGUAAAGAGCUCGUAGGCGGCUUGUCGCGUCGUUCGUGAAAACCCGGGGCUCAACUCCGGGCUUGCGGGCGAUACGGGCAGGCUAGAGUUCGGUAGGGGAGACUGGAAUUCCUGGUGUAGCGGUGAAAUGCGCAGAUAUCAGGAGGAACACCGGUGGCGAAGGCAGGUCUCUGGGCCGAUACUGACGCUGAGGAGCGAAAGCGUGGGGAGCGAACAGG